rnacentral:rRNA from 1 species
GAUUUGGCACGCUGACCAAGUCUUCUGGAACGGAGCGCCAUGGAGGGUGACAGCCCCGUAGCAGCAGCCACUGUAAAUCCGGGUCGACGAGUCGAGUUGUUUGGGAAUGCAGCUCUAAGUGGGUGGUAUGCUCCAUCUAAAGCUAAAUAUUGGCGAGAGACCGAUAGCGAACAAGUACUGUGAAGGAAAGAUGAAAAGAACUUUGAAAAGAGAGUGAAAAAGUACGUGAAAUUGUUGAAAUGGAAGGCAAUGAGGUGCGAUUGAACCGGACGUUUGCGGGCAGGACAAAAGCGCAGGCCGCCUCGGCAUUGCCUGCGUGCAUACUGCCUCGCGGACUACCAGUUCUAACAACGCCUUAUUGCACCCG